rnacentral:lncRNA from 1 species
AAAUUUAAGUUAUAUAUAUACUGUGAUGAAUUUUAAAGAAAAAUAUGAUUUUUGGAUGUUAGGUUCUGCGAGGGAUUUGUGAGAUAAAUUGGAUCGCAUUCGAUGUAAGUAAUGAACUGCCUUCUCUAAACUCUUCAUUUAUAUAAUAUUAUUUUUGCAUCGAAUAAAUUGUUAAUAAAUUUAUAUGUGAUUUAUGAAUUUUACGAGAUGAUGAUUUGAAUGAAAAAUGGAUAUGUGAACUGAAAUUAUAUUUUUCGGACUAUUGCUAUAUUUAUUGUUCUUGCAUCGUAUAUGCAUAUUUAGAUCGGAUUAUGAUACAUAUAUUAUGUUACCAAAAGAAUUUUGAUGUGCAUCAGAUUUAGAACUCUCAGCCUGACUAUGUUCUAGACCCUGCCAAUUGGGGGUUAUGCAUUGGCAAUUUUGGCCCCACCGCAGGAUAUAAGUACGGUAUUCUGGCCCACUCCGCAGGGUAUAAGUGCGGUAUUCUGGCCCAUUCCGCAGGGUAUAAGUGUGGUUCUGUUUCUGGCCUAGCCACAGGGUAUAAGUGUGGUCGUAGUUAAAGGCUGAUGAGAUGAAUGCGAUUUGUUUAGAAUCAGAUUUAUGAUUAUGUAUAUGGAUAUUUGAAAAAUACGGAUUUUAAUGAAUUUGUGUUUGAAAAGGAAUUGAUUAUGUUAUUAUGUUGAUUCAUCGUAAUUUGUAUUUAUAUUUUAUGUUAUUAUACAAAUUGACUAUUUAAGGUGUUUAUUACUUACUGGGCUGUCUAGCUCAUUACACGAUUUCUUACUGUUUUUACACAUCCGAAGAAUUAGCUCGAUCCGGGGUUUUACAAUAUGGGAGAGCGGAUAAAAGAAUUAUGGCACAAGUUAUCUUAAAUUAGGUUUUAUUUAAAUUAAUGUUCUAUUUUUAUUGUUCCGCUGCGUAUUUAGAACUGUGAGACUUUAUAAUUUAUGUCAGUCAAUGGAAUAAGAUUGCA